UAAGACUCAAAUCAAACCAGUAACCAUGGUGGAGAAACAGAUUCCAAGAGCUAGGGGCAAGAAACACCAAUAAAUGAAAGGGCAUUAACGUUCAUCAUCCACCCUACCAUGAGAGGUUUCAGUGUGCUUAUAGCAACCCACAUGAUCCACAGCACCAAGGAAUGACAUAUCCGGCCAAAGCAGUCAACUCCACCUCCACCAAAUAGAGAUCGACAGUAGAUCAAAACCAGUGCUCAAUAUGCAAAUCAACUACCCCAAGGACCAAAGGCCACCGAUUUAAGAGAUCUAUACAAAAACGAGCGUUUGUUGGCGGCUCUCUUUCUUUCUUUUUUUUUUUACUUGCAUUUUACAAAUCAAUGUGCUUUAUAACAGUCCUAGUGUGAAUAUUUUACUCUGACUAUGCUGCAUCUA
rnacentral:lncRNA from 1 species